GGUUGGCCGCCUAGGGUGCAAGAACCUGAACUAAAGCUGAGAAGAGACUUUCUGGAAGGAAAAGUGGCAAAGCCAGGAAUUUCAGUCGUUAUAAACAGCGUAGUUUAACUGUUGUCGGGCCUGGGAAAGUUUUGCCCAUCUCAUUAAAGGUUGACCAAGAUUCAUUAUUCAGAUCACAUCUCAAAGACAUCCUUCAAAGGUUUUCCUGGUUCCUCAAUUAAAUCUCUCAGAGGACACUUACUCUGGACCAAAAGAGAUGGAGGAGAAAGCAUCCUCCAUGGGAUAUAGUGAUACUGCAGUUCCUU